UAUUUCCGCACCGGACUUCUCUUCCGCGCAGCCGCGCCGCGGUAUCUGCCGAGAAACCCCGCACAUGCCGAGUCCCUAGCCGCACCUGGCAGUCCACGACGGAGCGCGCCUACGCUGGGAAGCCGUCGCCGUCGGGGACCAGAGGCGCUGCUUUACCAAUGUAUUCGGUCGUGGCGGUGGGGAGGCUGCUAUCGCCGUUUCUCGGCAGCCUGGGCGACCGGAUCCACUCAACCGCCGACAACCUCUUCCGCUGCCAUGGUUGAUAGGUAUUGAUUUUAGGUUUGAAUUUUUUAUUUGAUUUAUGCACUGCCAUGGUGGAGGAGGAUUCUUCUCUGGGAUAGGAGGCAGCCGCGGUGGCACGAGGGUUGAAGGGGAGCGAGUAGAAGGGCCCACGAUAGAGGUAAAAAAGAUGGAUGCUUUUUUUUUUUUUUUACUUUUGUCGUCCUAGACAUGAUGACAUUGUUUUGAUUUACUUGCUUUCUGGAUGUUGAUUUAUGGCUUAAAAAAUAGAGGAUCUCAUUGGGUUCUUAGGUGUGGAGUGGAUGGAGAUUUAGCGUCACAAUUUACACCCAUCUAGCAUAGAGCUUCAUUUGCUUCAAUUUGCUUAUCUCGGUAGUGAGGUACUGUUUGUUAAGCAUUUGCAUUUCAUGCAAAAGUUGUGCUGGAUUUAUAACUAUUUGUGCUUGUUGGUUUGAUACAUAUUUUUUCUCAUGCCGAAUUUUAUUCAUAGCUAUUAAUCCCGUGAGGUAGCUACUAUCAAUUUUAGAAAAAAAAUAUGAUUUUUGGGCAUGUUUUUUUGUUACAAGAUAUGAGAUAUUUUUGCAUUCUUU